GAUGAACGCUGACAGAAUGCUUAACACAUGCAAGUCAACUUGAACUUCGGUUUGGGUGGCGGACGGGUGAGUAACGCGUAAAGAACUUGCCUCACAGCUAGGGACAACAUUUGGAAACGAAUGCUAAUACCUGAUAUUAUGAUUUUAGGGCAUCCUAGAAUUAUGAAAGCUAUAUGCGCUGUGAGAGAGCUUUGCGUCCCAUUAGCUAGUUGGAGAGGUAACGGCUCACCAAGGCGAUGAUGGGUAGCCGGCCUGAGAGGGUGAACGGCCACAAGGGGACGGAGACACGGCCCUUACUCCUACGGGAGGCAGCGGUGGGGAAUAUUGGACAAGGGACCAAGAGUCUGAUCGAGCAAUUCUGUGUGCACAAUGAAGUUUUUCGGAAUGUAAAGUGCUUUCAGUUGGGAAGAAAAAAAUGACGGUACCAACAGAAGAAGUGACGGCUAAAUACGUG
rnacentral:rRNA from 1 species